rnacentral:piRNA from 1 species
UUGUCCUUUGGGAGUAAGCUGAUGGGCAAU